CAGGGAGCCGGGAGGGAGGGCUGGGCGCGCCCUCCGCGGCCCCGCGCGCGCCCCGACGACCCCACCCCGCGCCUGGCCGCCCCGGCCCGCCAGUGGGUCGCCGCGCCCGGCAACUCACUUCUCUCCGCGUCCGCGCCCCUCUCCACUCCGCCCCGCUCCCCGAGGAUGCGGGGGGCCCCGCGGCACCUGUGGUUCAGGAAUCACCUCAAGUUUUGCGGGGCAUUUUCGGGAGGGGCCCGCGGCCGGGGGCGGUGGCGGCGGAGGACCCUUGGCGCCCCCUGCGCGGCGGCGAAUGCCAUUGUCUGCCCGGCUCCUAGCCGGUCACCUCGCCCGGGCUCGAUGCAGUUUAUGUUGCUUUUUAGUCGUCAGGGAAAGCUUCGACUGCAGAAAUGGUAUGUCCCACUAUCAGACAAAGAGAAGAAAAAGAUUACAAGAGAACUUGUUCAAACCGUUUUAGCACGGAAACCUAAAAUGUGCAGCUUUCUUGAGUGGCGAGAUCUGAAGAUUGUUUACAAAAGAUACGCUAGUCUGUAUUUUUGCUGUGCUAUUGAGGAUCAGGACAAUGAGCUAAUUACCCUGGAAAUAAUUCAUCGUUAUGUGGAAUUACUUGACAAGUAUUUUGGCAGUGUGUGUGAACUUGAUAUCAUCUUUAAUUUUGAGAAGGCUUAUUUUAUUUUGGAUGAGUUUCUUUUGGGAGGGGAAGUUCAGGAAACAUCCAAGAAAAAUGUCCUUAAAGCAAUUGAGCAGGCUGAUCUACUGCAGGAGAGCCAAAAUGAAGAAUGGGGAGGUUUGUCUGAGGAUAUCUUAUGAUAAAGAGCAGUCUAAGGCUUUAGUCCCUUUGACCCCCAACUUAUUUAUUGGUAAAUUUGAUUGGGGUCUGCUAGAACAAACUGAGUAAGUAAGGUUUGGUGACAUUAAUGUUUGAAAUGGAAAGUGCAGAAGGGCAGAUACAGAAAAAACAGAAGGCAGAACAAAUCUUGCCUUUUGUUUACGUUUUAUAAGAAAUUUGGCCAAGUCCUUGGGCACUGGUUUUCAGGUUGUAAUCAUUUUGCUGUAUGUGUGGUUUUUUUUUUUAUUCUUAUGUUAAUCCCCAUACAUUACAUCAUUAGUUUUAGAUGAAGUGUUCCAUGAUUCAUUGUUUGUGCAUAACACCCAGUGCUCCAUGCUGAACGUGCCCUCUUUAAUACCCACCACCAGGCUAACCCCUCCCCUCCCCUCUAGAACCCUGUUUGUUUUUCAGAGUCCAUCGUCUCUCAUGGUUCGUCUACCCCUCCGAUUUCCCCCGCUUCAUUCUUCCCCUCCCGCUACCUUCUUCUUCUUUUUUUUUUUUCUUAACAUAUAUUGCAUUAUUUGUUUCAGAGGUACAGAUCUGAGAUUCAACAGUCUUUGCUGUAUGUGUGUUUUUUGAGCUCUUUGCUUUUCAGAAUUUCGAGGAUCCCCCCUCCUUAUUUCACUUUAACUCAUUUUGAGCCCACUUUUGCUACUCUGGGCUAUUUGCAAUAAUGAAAAGUUGGAGUAACUUAAAAUCAGUAGCUGUAAAUCUGAUUUUCAAAGAUAUUUGACAAGAACCCACAGUAAUAAAAUACAUUUUUAUAUCCUAAUAGUUACAUGCACAUAAACUGAAAAAAGUAUUUUGUUAAGUAAUACUUUAUUUCUUGUUUUGCUAUAUCACGUUUUCUGUUCUAUCCUUUUUUUUUUCUUUUUUUUAAUUUUUUUUUUAAGAUUUUUAUUUAUUUAUUUGACAGAGAGAGACAUAGCGAGAGCAGGAACACAAGCAGGGGGAGUGGGAGAGGGAGAAGCAGGCCUCCUGCAGAGCAGGGAGCCCAACGUGGGGCUCAAUCCCAGGACCCCAGGAUCAUGACCUGAGCUGAAGACAGACGCCUAACGACUGAGCCACCCAGGCGCCCCACUGUCCUUUUUCUCAAUGCUGAUCCUGAUCUACUAAAUGGAUUGCAUGCACCCUAGGAUUGGGACCUGCAAAGAGCCUAUUCCUAGCUGUUGGUGGUGAUUUUUUUUCUUUAAAAAGUACUUUCUGAAAAAUUUCAGGGUUUUAGCUCUUUUUUCCCCUACUGACACAUUCUUUAAAAUUUUCUUAUGGUUUCGUCUGUUGCCUUUUUAAAAAAUAAAAGUUCCUAUUAUAGAAAAAUUAACAAAUACAGGCAAGCACACUAGAACGUAAUUUUACCUACCCAUCAACCAGAGACAAUUAGAUGAACUCCGUGGUUCUCAACUGAGGUGGGGAGUGGGGCAGUUAGGCCUCCUUACGGAGCAUUGAACAAUGCCUGCACAUAUUUUCGAUUGUGACGACUGGCAAUGGGGUGCUACUGGCAUCUGGUAGGUGAAGACCAAGGAUGCUGCUAAACAUCCAGCAGUGCCCCAGACAGACCCCCCUAGAACAAGGAAUUAUCCAGCCUCCAGUAUCAGUCGUGCUGUGGUUGCAAAACCCUGGUUUAAUUUAACACAGUAGGAUAUAGAUUCCAUUUACAUUUAUAGACUGCUACAUCUUUUCAAUAUAAUAUAGAGUCCAGAGUAUAUUGGUUGAAAUGAAUCAAAAGUAGGAGGGCGAAAAAACCCUUAAGAACUGUAAAAGAGGGGCAUCUGGGUGGCUCAGAUGGCUAAGCGUCUGCCUUCGGCUCAGGUCAUGAUCCCAGAGUCCUGGGAUCGUGUCCCGCUCCCUGCUCCUUGGGAGCCUGCUUCUCCCUCUGCCCCUCUCUCUCUCUCUCUCAUGAAUAAAUAAAUAAAAUCAAAACUGUAAAAGAAGGACAGAUGUGCUUAAUAAGACCAUGUAAAUGGCUAUAAAAAUCACCUCUGAGUCAACAGAGUCACCUUGAUAACCAGUGUCUGGGGAGAUAAUCUGUGGUUGACUUUAGCACCUAACCCACUGCAAAGCUUGUGGGAUGUCACUAUAUAAUUUUCAUUUCCUCAACAACAACCAAAUCAGUUAAUGUCUGUUAAGGAAACUGAGUUUUUACCUGGAAACAGAAUUGAGUAUACCCUGUAGGCAAUUAGAAUAUUUUUUAAAUUUUCUGAUUUCCCCAUCCACCUUAGGGAGUUGAUAAUUUUUUUUAGAGGGGAACUAGUUUAAAUGACCAGAAUUGGCAUAUAUAGACUUUUAUUAUUGUACAUAUAGACUUUGUUGUUGUUGUUCUUUUGUACCUUAUUAGCCUUAAAGAAUUUACUUAGUACAGAUCUAGAGUUUGAAUAUUUGAAAUUCAGUGAUAAAAUGUUACAUUUUGAAAACCCUGAUCAAAUUUAAAGCAUUUCACAUUAUGAUCCAAAUGGAAGACCUAGGCAGAUACAAUACAGUUACCCUAAAAUAUGCUUAAAAUGAUUUCCUUACAGUCUGAAGUUAUAUUUACUAAUUAAUCUGCUUUUUUAAAUUUAAAAAGUACAAUUAACUGCUAGAGAAAGUGAUCUAUCUGUUCUUAGUAUUUUAUAACUAAUAGGUUUUAGAGUAGGGUGUACAAGAUGUAGUUGUUAUUCCCAUCAUUUUUAAGAAACUUUUGAGAUAUGUAAUAGAAACAGAUCAACAGCACAAUAGAAAAAGACAGCAGUAGAUAUAAAUAAUUCACAGAUGAAAGAAAAACAAAUGGCCCUUUUACAUAAGGGAACGUAAAUGAAAAUAUGAAUGAGAACUUUCUUUGGUUUGUUCUUGGAUUGGCAAGGAUGAGCGACCCUCUUGUCUGCUGCUUGUGAGCACUUAAACUUGUAUUCCAUUUUGGAGGAUUAGUUUGGUGAUACCUGUUAACAGUUAAAUUUGUACACUUUUGACCCAUCAGUUAAAUUUUCAAGGAAUUGUAUCCAAUAGAAAUAUACAAAUGCACUAAGAUUCAGUAUCAUAUUAAGCCACUGGAACUUACCCAAAUGUUAAUCAGUGGGAAAUAGGUUAAGAAAAUUACAGUACAGCCAUACAUGAAACUGUUACCUGUCUGUAAAAGAAAUGAGAUUGAUUUCUAUGCAAUGAUAGGAAAGAUAUUCAAGGUAUAUCAAGUGAGAAAAGAUCUAGGAGUGGGACAUUAACUUACCGGCAUUACCUCUUGAAAAUGUUUGAGGUCCCUCCCCCCCCCGCUUUUCUAGAAGUGUAAAACAAA